CAUUUGUUCUCUAAAUAAGGACUUGUAUGAACGGCCACACGAGGGUUUUACUGUCUCUUACUUCCAAUCAGUGAAAUUGACCUCCCCGUGAAGAGGCGGGGAUAAACCAACAAGACGAGAAGACCCUAUGGAGCUUUAACUAAUUAACCCAAGGAAAAUAAAUCUAACCACCAAGGGAUAACUACACUCUUUAUGGGUUAACAGUUUCGGUUGGGGUGACCUCGGAGAAUAAAAAAUCCUCCGAGCGAUUUUAAAGACUAGACCUACAAGUCAAAUCAAACCAUCGCUUAUUGAUCCAAAAACUUGAUCAACGGAACAAGUUACCCUAGGGAUAACAGCGCA
rnacentral:rRNA from 1 species